UAUGAUUCGCGGUCUUUCUAAAUAGCCGAGACGAGAUGUUAUUGAUGUUCACUGGUUAUGCUUUCAAAAAUAUAUUUUUCAAUAUAAUAAUAUGCACACCAGAAGCAGCGAUAUAUUUCAGCAAUGCACGAAUUUCGUUUUUGUGAGGAUGUGAGCGACCAAAGCUAUCCGGAAGUCAACAUCGACAUGCCUUUCAACUAAGCUUUAACACCAAUUUACGUUGUCUAUAAGUGUUUAUGUGACAGUUUUGGUGUUCAGCUAGCAGUUUGCAGUCAUGGCCACCAAUGUGCAGAUAAAAGGCAAAGCUUCAAAGUUUGACUGUCUCAUCUGUAGCAGGAAUCUGUCUUCAAGGCAGUGACUUGAGACACAUAUGCAGGCAAAUCAUAACAGAAGUUCAGUGGAGUCUAGCUACAAAUGCAAACACUUUUUGAACAGGAUGCUUAAGUGUAGAAGCAAGUGGACAACAGCAAAAGAAAUGGUGUCUUGUAAAGUUGCAGGAAGACUCUUACCAGUCUCACCAGAUGAAUGCUGUGAAGGUCUUCUGCAGUCAACAAACUCAACUUCUGCAUUGGAUUUAAAAAAGUGUUUUCAUGUUGAAAUUAGUGGACAAAAGUACUUCAGUCAGGCAUAUCAGCGAAUGAAAAAAAGAACUUGUUAUUUUGUUGUUUGUCAUUCAGGUGAAGUAGUUUCAGUCAAGUUUUUUUUGUUAACAAAGAAAAGAAAGUGUUUGGCGCUUGACUGUCAAUCAAGAGGUCGUGCCAACCUCUGUGGCGAUUACUUCCCCUUGCGAUACAGUAACUAAUGAACGCCAGGGAAGGUAACUGCUGCGAAUAGCUUGGAGGUCGUGAGGUUGUAUCACGCCUUUGGCGCUUGAAAUUUGAAAUUAAUAGUACAUGCUUAAAGACUUGUGUAAAUAAAAGAUCAGAGCAGAAAAUAAAAUAUGAAAACCGUGA